rnacentral:tRNA from 1 species
GCUAAAAAAGCUUUAUUAGAAGCGCUGGUCUUGUAAGCCAGAGAUGAAUUAUUAAUUUCUUUUAGUA